rnacentral:lncRNA from 1 species
UUUCUAGUUGAUUAAAGUAGCAUUUGAUGAAGAAGUCAGCCCAGAAGUGGUAGACAUCUUUAAGAAACAGCUAAUGAAGUUCCGUUACCCUCAGUCCAUUUUCAGCACCUUCGCUUUUGCUGCUGGACAAACUACCCCACAAAUCAUUUUACCCAAGCAGAAGGAAAAGAACACCUCCUUCCGAACUUUCUCAAAAACAAUUGUGAAAGGUGCCAAGAAGGCAGGAAAAAUGACAAUUGGGAGGCAGUAUUUAUUAAAGAAGAGAACAGGAACAAUUGUGGAAGAGAGGGCAAAUCGUCCAGGGUGGAAUGAAGAAGAUGAUAUUUCUUUUCAGAUGAUUGUGAACUCCCCACAAGUACAACUCUGAAGGCCUCAGAGAAAUCUACAAUGGAACAGUUGGUGGAAAAGGCAUGUUUCAGAGAUUAUCAGCGGUUAGGUUUGGGAACCAUAAGUGGCAGCUCCUCCCGUUCAAAACCAGAGUAUUUCCGAGUCACUGCCUCCAACAGGCUAUAUUCGCUGUGCCGGAGCUAUCCUGGCCUUUUAGUCAUACCUCAAGCUGUACAAGACAGUAGUUUACCAAGAGUAGCCCGCUGCUAUCGGCACAAUCGCCUGCCCGUCGUAUGUUGGAAGAAUUCAAGAAGUGGUACUCUGCUCCUCCGAUCUGGAGGAUUCCAUGGGAAGGGAGUUGUUGGUCUGUUCAAAUCACAGAACUCCCCUCAAGCCGUUUCUACCUCCUCUUUAGAAUCUUCCAGUAGCAUAGAGCAAGAAAAGUACUUGCAAGCCCUAUUGACUGCAGUUAUUGUCCAUCAGAAACUCAGAGGCAACAGUACUCUUACUGUCAGGCCAACACUUGCUCUGUCCCCAGGCGUCUGGGCAAGUCUUCGUUCCAGCACCCGUUUGAUCAGCUCCCCAACAUCCCUCAUUGAUGUUGGUGCCAGGCUGGCAGGCAAGGACCAUUCAGCCUCCUUCAGUAACAGCACCUACCUACAAAAC